rnacentral:rRNA from 1 species
AGAGUUUGAUCCUGGCUCAGGAUGAACGCUGGCGGCGUGCCUAACACAUGCAAGUCGAGCGAGGGUUUGCUCAGUAUUGAGUAUUCUAAGUCUAGAAUGUUCAAUUCUGAGCAAAACCAAGCGGCGGACGGGUGAGUAACGCGUGGGUAACCUGCCCUAUACACAUGGAUAACAUACUGAAAAGUUUACUAAUACAUGAUAAUAUAUAUUUGCGGCAUCGCAGAUAUAUCAAAGUGUUAGCGGUAUAGGAUGGACCCGCGUCUGAUUAGCUAGUUGGUGAGAUAACUGCCCACCAAGGCGACGAUCAGUAGCCGACCUGAGAGGGUGAUCGGCCACAUUGGAACUGAGACACGGUCCAAACUCCUACGGGAGGCAGCAGUGGGGAAUAUUGCACAAUGGGCGAAAGCCUGAUGCAGCAACGCCGCGUGAACGAUGAAGGUCUUCGGAUCGUAAAGUUCUGUUGCAGGGGAAGAUAAUGACGGUACCCUGUGAGGAAGCCCCGGCUAACUACGUGCCAGCAGCCGCGGUAAUACGUAGGGGGCUAGCGUUAUCCGGAUUUACUGGGCGUAAAGGGUGCGUAGGUGGUCCUUCAAGUCGGUGGUUAAAGGCUACGGCUCAACCGUAGUAAGCCGCCGAAACUGGAGGACUUGAGUGCAGGAGAGGAAAGUGGAAUUCCCAGUGUAGCGGUGAAAUGCGUAGAUAUUGGGAGGAACACCAGUAGCGAAGGCGGCUUUCUGGACUGCAACUGACACUGAGGCACGAAAGCGUGGGUAGCAAACAGGAUUAGAUACCCUGGUAGUCCACGCCGUAAACGAUGAGCACUAGGU